UGAGGAAUAUGGCCAAUGGAGGCAACUCUCACCCAGCCAUGCCGCGUGCAGGAAGACUGCCCUAUGGGUUGUAAACUGCUUUUAUACAGGAAGAAACACUCGUACGUGUACGAGCUUGACGGUACUGUAAGAAUAAGGACCGGCUAACUCCGYGCCAGCARCCGCGGUAAUACGGAGGGUCCGAGCGUUAUCCGGAAUCRUUGGGUUUAAAGGGUCCGCAGGCGGUCAAUUAAGUCAKAGGUGAAAUCCCAUAGCUUAACUAUGGAACUGCCUUUGAUACUGGUUGACUUGAGUUAUACGGAAGUAGAUAGAAUAAGUAGUGUAGCGGUGAAAUGCAUAGAUAUUACUUAGAAUACCGAUUGCGAAGGCAGUCUACUACGUAUAUACYGACGCUCAUGGACGAAAGCGUGGGGAGCGAACAGGAUUAGAUMCCCUGGUMGUCCACGCCGUAAACGAUGGACACUAGUUGUUGGAAUUAU
rnacentral:rRNA from 1 species